CCUUUAGUGGGGACAACAUAUGGAAACGUAUGCUAAUACCGAAUAUGCUCUACGGAGUAAAGGUGCCCUCUUCUUGAAAGGUAUCGCUAUAGGAUGAGCCCGCGUGAGAUUAGCUAGUUGGUAAGGUAAUGGCUUACCAAGGCGACGAUCUCUAGCUGGUUUGAGAGGAUGAUCAGCCACACUGGGACUGAGACACGGCCCAGACUCCUACGGGAGGCAGCAGUGGGGAAUAUUGCACAAUGAGCGAAAGCUUGAUGCAGCCAUACCGCGUGUGUGAAGAAGGCCCGAGGGUUGUAAAGCACUUUCAAUUGUGAGGAAGGUAGUAUAACUAAUACUUAUAUUGCUUGACGUUAACUUUAGAAGAAGCACCGGCUAACUCUGUGCCAGCAGCCGCGGUAAUACAGAGGGUGCAAGCGUUAUUCGGAAUUACUGGGCGUAAAGCGCGCGUAGGCGGACUAUUAAGUCAGUUGUGAAAGCCCUGGGCUCAACCUGGGAACUGCAUCUGAUACUGGUAGUCUAGAGUUUAGUAGAGGGAAGGGGAAUUCCUAGUGUAGCAGUGAAAUGCGUAGAUAUUAGGAGGAACAUCAGUGGCGAAGGCGCCUUCCUGGACUAAAACUGACGCUGAGGUGCGAAAGCGUGGGUAGCGAACGGGAUUAGAUACCCCGGUAGUCCACGCCGUAAACGAUGUCAACUAACUGUGGCCUUAU
rnacentral:rRNA from 1 species